AAGCUCACUCUGCUAAUCCACUUGGAAUGCAACAGUUAUCACCUGCUUGAGGUAAAUUCUGCAUUCCAAAGGGAUUACAGCUUCAUCAUU
rnacentral:miRNA from 1 species